UACAGAGGGGGCAAGCGUUGUUCGGAAUUACUGGGCGUAAAGGGCGCGUAGGCGGCCUGCUAAGUCGAACGUGAAAUCCCCGGGCUCAACCCGGGAACUGCGUCCGAUACUGGUUGGCUUGAAUCCGGGAGAGGGAUGCGGAAUUCCAGGUGUAGCGGUGAAAUGCGUAGAUAUCUGGAGGAACACCGGUGGCGAAGGCGGCAUCCUGGACCGGCAUUGACGCUGAGGCGCGAAAGUGUGGGGAGCGAACAGG
rnacentral:rRNA from 1 species